rnacentral:rRNA from 1 species
AUGGCUAAGUAUCGGAAGGGGGGCGGCGCGACGAUCUCCUCCAUCGGCAUGUUUAAAGCCCAGAUGAGCAGUGGCUCAUUCCAGCUCCUCGGGAUGGCGGAACUCAGUCCCCUCCCGGCUGUUUUUGCUCGCCGCACCUCCUACACCGGGACCCCGUGGGUCGCCAUCGCCGCAUCGACCGUUGUCAUGAUCGCCGUCUCAUUCCUUGGCUUCGAUCAUGUCGCCAACUUCCUAUAUAGCUUGGGCACGUUGCUCGAGUUCGCCUCCUUCUGGCUCCGUGCCAAGCACCUGAUGCUGAAGCGCCCCUACCGCGUGCCACUAUCGCUGCAUGCGCUCGUGGCCAUGUGUGCCGUGCCGUCGGGUUUCCUGGCCUAUGUCUGUGUGGUGGCCGGGUGGAGGGUGUUCGGCGUUGCUGCUGGGCUGUCGGCGCUCGGUGUCGGUUGGCAUGGCGUCAUGAGGGUGUGUAGGGCCAGAAAGUUGCUCAAGUUCAACAUGAGGGUGUGCAGGGCCAGAAAGUUGCUCAAGUUCAACAACGCGGUUGUUGCUGUCCAUCGAGAGGGUGUUGAAGAGAAUAUUUGA